rnacentral:rRNA from 1 species
UACGUAGGGUGCGAGCGUUGUCCGGAAUUAUUGGGCGUAAAGAGCUUGUAGGCGGUCUGUCGCGUCUGCUGUGAAAAUCCGGGGCUCAACCCCGGACUUGCAGUGGGUACGGGCAGACUAGAGUGUGGUAGUGGAGACUGGAAUUCCUGGUGUAGCGGUGAAAUGCGUAGAGAUGUGGAGGAACACCGAUGGCGAAGGCAGCCUCCUGGGCUAGUACUGACGCUGAGACGCGAAAGCGUGGGGAGCAAACAGG